GUCCCUAUAGAGCAUUGGGUAGCGCGUUGGACUUUUAAUCCAAAGGUCGUGGGUUCGAAUUCCACCUGGGAUG